rnacentral:tRNA from 1 species
GCCUUUGUGGUGUAAUGGUUAGCACACUCAGCACAUAUUCGAGAGGUCAAGGUUCAAGUCCUGGCAAGGGCA